rnacentral:rRNA from 1 species
GACGAACGCUGGCGGCGUGCCUAAUACAUGCAAGUAGAACGCUGAAGCGAGGAGCUUGCUCUUCUUGGAUGAGGUGCGCACGGGUGAGUAACGCGUAGGUAACCUGCCUUGUAGCGGGGGAUAACUAUUGGAAACGAUAGCUAAUACCGCAUAACAAUGGAUGACACAUGUCAGUUAGUUGAAAGGGGCAAUUGCUCCACUACAAGAUGGACCUGCGUUGUAUUAGGUAGUAGGUGAGGUAAUGGCUCACCUAGGCGACGAUACAUAGCCGCCAUGAGAGGGUGGUCGGCCAGCCUGGGAGGGUGACCCGGCCCAGACGCCUUGGGGAGGCAGCAGGAGGGAAUCGGGGGCAAUGGGGGGGACACUGAGCGCGAAACGCGGCGUGAGGGAAGAAGGUUGUCGGAUCGGAAAGGUCGGUUGUAAGUUAAGAAAGGGCGUGAGAGUGGAAAGUUCAGAGUGUGACGGUAGCUUACAAGAAAGGGACGGCUAACUACGUG